rnacentral:rRNA from 1 species
GACGAACCGUGCGAACGUUAUUCGGAAUCACUGGGCUUAAAGCGCGUGUAGGCGGGUGGGAACGUCGGCCGCUGAAAUCCCCCGGCUCAACCGGGGAAGGGGCGCCGAAACGGCCCGCCUGGAGGGACGUAGGGGGAGCUGGAACUUCCGGUGGAGCGGUGAAAUGCGUUGAGAUCGGAAGGAACGCCCGUGGCGAAAGCGAGCUCCUGGACGUUUUCUGACGCUGAGACGCGAAAGCCAGGGGAGCGUAACGGG